CUUUUCAGAGCAUCGAUGAGAACGAAAACAUCGUGAAGAGAGCCUCAGAAACCACACAUUUCAUGCUUGGACUGAUCAAUGAAUGCGAUGUUCACCUGCUGAAACCAGACGCCUUGGACAAGUCGAUGGUGCUGAAGUGUAUACAUCUGAAGUAUGACACAGAUAAAAUUAAUCUUAACCGCACCCACAGCAACACAGAGGGGGACUUGAUCAACAGCAAGUGUGACACCAGGUCUGCAGGGAAAGGGAGACUUACGAACUACUGUGGCACAUGCA